CUAAUCUCUAGGAUAUAUAAAGAAUUAAAAAAUCUUAACACCAAAAAACCCACAAAUAACCCAAUCAUUAAAUAGGUUAAGAAACAGACACUUAUCAGAAGAUGAUAUACAAUCGAUCAACAAAUACAUGAAAAAAUGUUCAACAUCUCUAGCAAUUAGAGAAAUACAAAUCAAAACAACUCUAAGAUUUCACCUCACUCCAGUCAGAAUGGCAGCUAUUAAGAAUACAAACAUCAAUAAGUGUUGGUGAGGAUGUGGGGGGAAAAGGCAUACUCAUACUUUGCUGGUGGGACUGCAAAUUGGUGCAACCAAUAUGGAAAGCAGUGUGGAGAUUCCUUGGAAAACUUGGAAUGGAACCAUCAUUUGACCCAGCUAUCCCACUCCUUGGUUUAUACCCAAAGGACUUAAAAACAGCAUACUAUAGUGACACAGCCACAUCAAUGUUUAUAGCAGCACAAUUUAUAAUAGAUAAAUUGUGGAACCAAAUUAGAUGCCCUUCAAUAGAUGAAUGGAUAAAGAAACUGUGGCAUAUAUACACAAUGGAAUAUUACUCAGCAUUAAAAGAGAAUAAAAUCAUGACAUUUGAAGGUAAACGGAUGGAGAUGGAGAUUAUAAUGGUAAGUGAAGUAAGUCAAUCCUCCCAAACUAAAGGCCUAAUGUUUUCUCUGAUAUGUGGUUGCCAAUGGAAGAACUUUAGAUAGG
rnacentral:lncRNA from 1 species